GGUGGUGCAUGGUUGUCGUCAGCUCAUGCCGUAAGGUGUUGGGUUAAGUCUCGCAACGAGCGCAACCCCCGUGUUUAGUUGCCACUAUGAGUUUGGAACCCUGAACAGACCACCGGUGUUAAGCCGGAGGAAGGAGAGGAUGAGGCGAAGUCAUCAUGCCCC
rnacentral:rRNA from 1 species